CGCAGCCAGUUAAACCAACUGGCUUCUUUCCUUGUGGGACAGUGGGACACAUGACUACAAGUAGUAGCUUCCCAGCAGUAUAUGCAGUUGUUGCUUUGAUGAAUUAAACUAAGGGACCUUGGGGACAGAU
rnacentral:snoRNA from 1 species